rnacentral:rRNA from 1 species
AGCGUAGGACGCAAGCGUUAUCCGGAGUUACUGGGCGUAAAGCGCGGGCAGGCGGCUCGAUACGUCUGAUGUGAAAUCUCCUCGCUCAACGGGGAGAGGCCAUUGGAAACGGUCGGGCUGGAGGGCAGUAGAGGUAGGCGGAAUUCCGGGUGGAGUGGUGAAAUGCGUAGAGAUCCGGAGGAACACCAGAGGCGAAGGCGGCCUACUGGGCUGGACCUGACGCUGAGCCGCGAAAGCCAGGGGAGCGAACGGG